rnacentral:misc_RNA from 1 species
CCGAGUGAGGGCCCCUGGGCUCGAUCUCCCACCCCUUUGACAAACGUCCGGUUUGCCUCGGGGGCGACCCGGACCCCUGGCGUCCGGGUGCCCCCGGAGGGAUACCCACUCUGCGUUUCUGCGUCGGAGUCGAAUGGAAAAUUGAAUGA